UUGAACGCUGGCGGCAGGCCUAACACAUGCAAGUCGAGCGGAUGAAGGGAGCUUGCUCCUGGAUUCAGCGGCGGACGGGUGAGUAAUGCCUAGGAAUCUGCCUGGUAGUGGGGGAUAACGUCCGGAAACGGGCGCUAAUACCGCAUACGUCCUGAUGGAGAAAGUGGGGGAUCUUCGGACCUCACGCUAUCAGAUGAGCCUAGGUCGGAUUAGCUAGUUGGUGGGGUAAAGGCCUACCAAGGCGACGAUCCGUAACUGGUCUGAGAGGAUGAUCAGUCACACUGGAACUGGGACACGGUCCAGACUCCUACGGGAGGCAGCAGUGGGGAAUAUUGGACAAUGGGCGAAAGCCUGAUCCAGCCAUGCCGCGUGUGUGAAGAAGGUCUUCGGAUUGUAAAGCACUUUAAGUUGGGAGGAAGGGCAGUAAGUUAAUACCUUGCUGUUUUGACGUUACCAACAGAAUAAGCACCGGCUAACUUCGUG
rnacentral:rRNA from 1 species